rnacentral:lncRNA from 1 species
AGCAGUACUUAGGAACCAGCUUCCUCUAAGAAAAGAAAGAGUAUGAUCUUUGAUAGUCUCCACCUGGGACUGUUGUCCAUGGCAGGGAUGUGUCUCUGUAAAGGCCAUUGCUAAGAAGCAUGGAGCCCCUUUGCUCCUCCUGCUUGAAAUUGAUGCCCUUUCCUGCUCUAACCACCAGAGGGGAGACAUCAUCUGUUUCAUGUUCUGAUUUACACACAGGCGCUACCAAAGGCAGGCAGGAAGAGCAAUGAAGACUCUGCCCUCUCACCUUCUCUCCUCUGCUCUCUUUGGAGGAUGAAUGGGGUACCGCAAAGGAAACCUGGUUUCCAAAGGGUCAUAAAAGUGCUCCUGGAAGUCACCAUGUUUUCAUUCCGUUAA